GGGGGAAUGNACCUUNGCUACCGGACCUAGCGGCGGACGGGUNGAGUAAUCGCUUAGGAAUCUNGCCUCAUUAGUGGGGGACAACAUUCUCGAAAGGGAUGCUAAUACCGCAUACGUCCUACGGGAGAAAGCAGGGGAUCUUCGGACCUUGCGCUAAUAGAUGAGCCUAAGUCGGAUUAGCUAGUUUGGUGGGGGUAAAGGCCUACCAAGGCGACGAUCUGUAGCGGGUCUGAGAGGAUGAUCCGCCACACUGGGACUGAGACACGGCCCANACUCCUACGGGAGGCAGCAGUGGGGAAUAUUUGGACAAUGGGGGGAACCCUUGAUCCAGCCAUGCCGCGUGUGUGAAGAAGGCCUUAUGGUUGUAAAGCACUUUAAGCGAGGAGGAGGCUACUUUAGUUAAUACCUAGAGAUAGUGGGACGUUACUCGCAGAAUAAGCACCGGCUAACUCUGUGCCAGCAGCCGCGGUAAUACAGAGGGUGCGAGCGUUAAUCGGAUUUACUGGGCGUAAAGCGUGCGUAGGCGGCUUAUUUAAGUCCGGAUGUGAAAUCCCCGAGCUUAACUUGGGAAUUGCAUUCNAUACUGGUGAGCUAAANUAUUGGGAGAGGAUGGUAGAAUUNCCNGGUGUANCCGGUGAAAUGCCUAAAAGAUCUGGANGNAUACCNGAUGGCGAANGNCAGCCNUCUGGCCUAAUNNGGACCCUGAGGUACNAAAACCUGGGGGAGCCAANCANGAUUUAAANACCCUGGGUAGUCCNUUGCCNGNAAACGAUNUCUNCUAACCCGUUUGGGGCCNUUNGAGGCUUUUAUUGGGCCCCCNUAACCCCAUUAAUUAAACCCCCCUGGGGAAUUCCGGNCCCCAAANUUAAACCNCCAANUAAAUUUGNCGGGGGCCC
rnacentral:rRNA from 1 species